rnacentral:misc_RNA from 1 species
UUACAGGUAAGGCUUUUCUCCUAGGCUCCCUUACUGCACAUUUCGAUAUUGUGUUUCAGUGUCUGCACAAUCUUGCCAUCUCUGUCCAUUAUGAAUGAGUACAGGUGAUUACAUGAGAACAGUUCAAACCCUGUAGCUUCUUCCUUCAGAUAGCUAAUUGGUUAUUUUGUAUAGCAAAUGGCACUAUAUUUGUGGACAUUCCAUAAGAAUAUUUACAUUUUGCAUCUCUUGUUUAGAUUAUUUGGCAAAGAAUAAUUGUAAACAGUUCUUUUUUUUUAUUAUUCUGCAUCUGCAUUCAAUAGCAUGGCAUUUUAGGCCAUUCUUUUUCACUUAACUUUUGUUGAAGAAUAUUUCUCCAUUAGUGGUCUAAUAAG